CGUAGCUCAGUGGUAGAACACUGUCCUUGAAAGACAGAGGUUGUGGGUUCGAUCCCCACCUUC
rnacentral:tRNA from 1 species